AGAGUUUGAUCCUGGCUCAGAACGAACGCUGGCGGCAGGCUUAACACAUGCAAGUCGAACGCGUGUAGCAAUACACGAGUGGCGCACGGGUGAGUAACGCGUGGAUAUCUGCCUUUGGUUCGGAAUAACCCCGGGAAACUGGGGCUAAUACCGGAUGGUUCCUUCGGGAUAAAGAUUUAUCGCCAAAAGAUGAGUCCGCGUACGAUUAGCUAGUUGGUGAGGUAAUGGCUCACCAAGGCGACGAUCGUUAGCUGGUCUGAGAGGACGAUCAGCCACACUGGGACUGAGACACGGCCCAGACUCCUACGGGAGGCAGCAGUGGGGAAUAUUGGACAAUGGGGGCAACCCUGAUCCAGCCAUGCCGCGUGAGUGAUGAAGGCCUUCGGGUUGUAAAGCUCUUUUGGCGGGGACGAUGAUGACGGUACCCGCAGAAUAAGCCCCGGCUAACUUCGUG
rnacentral:rRNA from 1 species